rnacentral:rRNA from 1 species
CAAGUAAUUAAGUGCAUGUGGUGGAUGCCUUGGCAGUCAGAGGCGAUGAAAGACGUGAUAGCCUGCGAAAAGCUCCGGGGAGGCGGCAAAUAUCCUUUGAUCCGGAGAUGUCUGAAUGGGGGAACCCACCUACUUUAAGGUAGGUAUUGCAACAUGAAUACAUAGUGUUGCAAGGCGAACGAGGGGAAGUGAAACAUCUCAGUACCCUUAGGAAAAGAAAUCAAUUGAGAUUCCCUCAGUAGCGGCGAGCGAACGGGGAUCAGCCCAUUAAGUUAUGUGUGUUUUAGUGGAACGCUCUGGGAAGUGCGAACGUAGAGGGUGAUAUUCCCGUACACGAAAGGGCACACAUAAUGAUGACGAGUAGGGCGAGGCACGUGAAACCUUGUCUGAAUAUGGGGGGACCAUCCUCCAAGGCUAAAUACUCCUGACUGACCGAUAGUGAACCAGUACCGUGAGGGAAAGGCGAAAAGAACCCCUGUGAGGGGAGUGAAAUAGAUCCUGAAACCGCAUGCAUACAAGCAGUGGGAGCACCUUUGUGGUGUGACUGCGUACCUUUUGUAUAAUGGGUCAGCGACUUAUAUUCAGUAGCGAGGUUAACCGUAUAGGGGAGCCGUAGAGAAAUCGAGUCUUAAUAGGGCGUUUAGUUGCUGGGUAUAGACCCGAAACCAGGCGAUCUAUCCAUGAGCAGGUUGAAGGUUGGGUAACACUAACUGGAGGACCGAACCCACUGUCGUUGAAAAGCCAGGGGAUGACUUGUGGAUAGGGGUGAAAGGCUAAUCAAGCCUGGUGAUAGCUGGUUCUCCCCGAAAGCUAUUUAGGUAGCGCCUCGGACGAAUACCAUAGGGGGUAGAGCACUGUUUCGGCUAGGGGGUCAUCCCGACUUACCAAACCGAUGCAAACUCCGAAUACCUAUGAGUACUAUCCGGGAGACAGACUGCGGGUGCUAACGUCCGUAGUCAAGAGGAAAACAAUCCAGACCGCCAGCUAAGGCCCCAAAAUCAUAGUUAAGUGGGAAACGAUGUGGGAAGGCAUAGACAGCUAGGAGGUUGGCUUAGAAGCAGCCACCCUUUAAAGAAAGCGUAAUAGCUCACUAGUCGAGUCGGCCUGCGCGGAAGAUGUAACGGGGCUAAAACUAUGUGCCGAAGCUGCGGAUGUAUACUUUGUAUACGUGGUAGGGGAGCGUUCUGUAAGCCGAUGAAGGUGUGUUGAGAAGCAUGCUGGAGGUAUCAGAAGUGCGAAUGCUGACGUGAGUAACGACAAAACGGGUGAAAAACCCGUUCGCCGAAAGACCAAGGGUUCCAGUCCAACGUUAAUCGGGGCUGGGUGAGUCGACCCCUAAGGCGAGGCCGAAAGGCGUAGUCGAUGGGAAAAUGGUUAAUAUUCCAUUACUUCUGUGUAAUGCGAUGAGAGGACGGAGAAGGCUAAAUCAGCCUGGCGUUGGUUGUCCAGGUGAAAGGAUGUAGGCAUGUAUCUUAGGCAAAUCCGGGGUACUCUAUGCUGAGAUCUGAUAGCAAGCUGUACUUGUACAGCGAAGUGGUUGAUGCCAUGCUUCCAGGAAAAGUCUCUAAGCUUCAGUUACACAGGAAUCGUACCCGAAACCGACACAGGUGGUCAGGUCGAGUAGACCAAGGCGCUUGAGAGAACUCUGCUGAAGGAACUAGGCAAAAUGGUACCGUAACUUCGGGAGAAGGUACGCUGUUGUUGGUGAUGGAACUCGCUUCCUGAGCUGACGACAGCCGCAGAAACCAGGCCGCUGCAACUGUUUAUUAAAAACAUAGCACUCUGCAAACACGAAAGUGGACGUAUAGGGUGUGAUGCCUGCCCGGUGCUGGAAGGUUAAUUGAUGGGGUUAGCGUAAGCGAAGCUCUUGAUCGAAGCCCCAGUAAACGGCGGCCGUAACUAUAACGGUCCUAAGGUAGCGAAAUUCCUUGUCGGGUAAGUUCCGACCUGCACGAAUGGCAUAAUGAUGGCGGCGCUGUCUCCAGCAGAGGCUCAGUGAAAUCGAAAUCGCUGUGAAGAUGCAGUGUACCCGCGGCUAGACGGAAAGACCCCGUGAACCUUUACUGCAGCUUGACACUGAACUUUGACCUUACUUGUGUAGGAUAGGUGGGAGGCUUUGAAGCUGGAACGCUAGUUCCAGUGGAGCCGUCCUUGAAAUACCACCCUGGUAAUGUUGAGGUUCUAACUCUGUCCCGUGAUCCGGGACGAGGACCGUGUCUGGUGGGUAGUUUGACUGGGGCGGUCUCCUCCUAAAGAGUAACGGAGGAGUACGAAGGUGCGCUCAGCGUGGUCGGAAAUCACGCGUAGAGUAUAAAGGCAAAAGCGCGCUUAACUGCGAGACCCACAAGUCGAGCAGGUACGAAAGUAGGUCUUAGUGAUCCGGUGGUUCUGUAUGGAAGGGCCAUCGCUCAACGGAUAAAAGGUACUCUGGGGAUAACAGGCUGAUACCGCCCAAGAGUUCAUAUCGACGGCGGUGUUUGGCACCUCGAUGUCGGCUCAUCUCAUCCUGGGGCUGAAGCAGGUCCCAAGGGUAUGGCUGUUCGCCAUUUAAAGAGGUACGCGAGCUGGGUUUAGAACGUCGUGAGACAGUUCGGUCCCUAUCUACCGUGGGCGCUGGAAAUUUGAGAGGAUCUGCUCCUAGUACGAGAGGACCAGAGUGGACGAACCUCUGGUGUACCGGUUGUGACGCCAGUCGCAUCGCCGGGUAGCUAUGUUCGGAAGGGAUAACCGCUGAAAGCAUCUAAGCGGGAAGCCUACCUCAAGAUAAGAUUUCCCUAGGACUUUAUGUCCUCUAAAGAGCCGUUCGAGACUAGGACGUUGAUAGGUUGGAUGUGGAAGCAUAGUGAUAUGUGAAGCUGACCAAUACUAAUUGCUCGUGAGGCUUGACUA